rnacentral:miRNA from 1 species
UCCACUACAAUGCCUUGCCUCU